GUCUACGAUCAUGCCACCCUGAACAAGCCUGAUCCCUUCUGAUUUCGGAAGCUAAGCAGGGUUGGGCCUGGUUAGUACUUGGAUGGGAGACCACCUAGGAAGACCAGGUGCUGUAGGCA
rnacentral:rRNA from 1 species